rnacentral:rRNA from 1 species
CCUACGGGUGGCAGCAGUGAGGAAUAUUGGUCAAUGGACGAGAGUCUGAACCAGCCAAGUCGCGUGAGGGAUGACUGCCCUAUGGGUUGUAAACUUCUUUUGUAAGGGAGUAAAACGAGGCACGUGUGCCUGUUUGCGUGUACGUUAUGAAUAAGCAUCGGCUAACUCCGUGCCAGCAGCCGCGGUAAUACGGAGGAUCCGAGCGUUAUCCGGAUUUAAUGGGUUUAAAGGGAGCGUAGAUGGGUUUUUAAGUCAGUUGUGAAAGUUUGCGGCUCAACCGUAAAAUUGCAGUUGAAACUGGCGGUCUUGAGUACAGUAGAGGUGGGCGGAAUUCGUGGUGUAGCGGUGAAAUGCAUAGAUAUCACGAAGAACUCCGAUUGCGAAGGCAGUUCACUGGACUGCAACUGACACUGAGGCUCGAAAGUGUGGGUAUCAAACAGGAUUAGAUACCCCUGUAGUC